rnacentral:rRNA from 1 species
GGGGAAUAUUGCACAAUGGGGGAAACCCUGAUGCAGCGACGCCGCGUGAAGGAAGAAGUAUCUCGGUAUGUAAACUUCUAUCAGCAGGGAAGAAAAUGACGGUACCUGACUAAGAAGCCCCGGCUAACUACGUGCCAGCAGCCGCGGUAAUACGUAGGGGGCAAGCGUUAUCCGGAUUUACUGGGUGUAAAGGGAGCGUAGACGGAAGAGCAAGUCUGAUGUGAAAGGCUGGGGCUUAACCCCAGGACUGCAUUGGAAACUGUUGUUCUAGAGUGCCGGAGAGGUAAGCGGAAUUCCUAGUGUAGCGGUGAAAUGCGUAGAUAUUAGGAGGAACACCAGUGGCGAAGGCGGCUUACUGGACGGUAACUGACGUUGAGGCUCGAAAGCGUGGGGAGCAAACA